AUUGAACGCUGGCGGCAGGCCUAACACAUGCAAGUCGAACGAGUGGCGGACUGGUGAGUAAUGUCUGGGAAACUGCCUGCUGGCUGGGGAUAACUACUGGAACCGGUAGCUAAUACCGCAUACCAUCAUAUGUGCCCAGAUGGGAUUGUCUAGUUGGUGGGGUAACGGCUCACCAAUGCGACGAUCCCUCGCUGGUCUGAGAGGAUGAACAGGCACACUGGAACUUAGACACGGUCCAGACGCCUACGGGAGGCAGCAGUGGGGAAUAUUGCACAAUGGGCGCAAGCCUGAUGCAGCCAUGCCGCGUGUAUGAAGAAGGCCUUCGGGUUGUAAAGUACUUGCAGCGGGGAGGCGUUACCCGCAGAAGAAGCACCGGCUAACUCCGUGCCAGCAGCCGCGGUAAUUC
rnacentral:rRNA from 1 species